rnacentral:rRNA from 1 species
UACGUUCCCGGGCCUUGUACACACCGCCCGUCACACCACGAGAGUUUGUAACACCCGAAGUCGGUGAGGUAACCUUUUUGGAACCAGUCGCCGAAGGUGGGACAAAUGAUUGGGGUG